rnacentral:lncRNA from 1 species
AUGAGAACUACAUCUUGGAAGUAACUGCACUCGGACCUGGAUCUUUCGCUGGUUUAUGUCCAUGGCUUUCUGGGCAAGACAUAAAGGAAAGAAUGCUGAGAUACUCUCGAACAGCUCAUGUGUUUUCAUUGAUAAGAGACAGUGGACCUGGGAAAGUGAAGUCAGCAGGAAGGAUAAGUUUUAACUUCAGCAAAUAUGACAAAGAAAAUAUGAAGAAAGGGCUGAGGCAGGCAUUAAGGGUGUUAAUUGCAGCUGGGGCUGUUGAAGUGGGUACUCAAAGAAGCGAUGGGCAGAAAUUGAAAUGCAAAGGGACAGGUAAAGAGGAGAUCGAGGAGUUCUUGGAGACAGUAGAUGCAUUACCUGGUCCGAUGUCAAUGGUGGAACGAUGGAGUCUAUAUUGUUCGGCUCAUCAAAUGGGGAGUUGCAGAAUGGGGAAAAGUGAG